rnacentral:rRNA from 1 species
UACAGAGGGGGCAAGCGUUGUUCGGAAUUACUGGGCGUAAAGGGCGCGUAGGCGGCCUCUUAAGUCGAACGUGAAAUCCCCGGGCUCAACCCGGGAACUGCGUCCGAUACUGGGAGGCUUGAAUCCGGGAGAGGGAUGUGGAAUUCCAGGUGUAGUGGUGAAAUGCGUAGAGAUCGGGAGGAACACCAGUGGCGAAGGCGGCGACCUGGGCCAAUACUGACGCUGAGGUGCGAAAGCGUGGGGAGCAAACAGG